UGCUAACAAUGAGGCAAAAUAGAGGGGGACCAAAGUAAAAUUUCUUUUUGCUUCAUUUGCAGGAAAAUAAGCUAUGGAGGAGAGGUUGAGUGAUUUGCCUGAGGUCACCUAGCCCAGAGCUGGGAAGGCAGAGUUCACACACUGGGUAGAUUGCACUGUCACAGUUUGUAGCUAAAUAUUCAAUGUAAUGAGGAUUUAAGGUAACAAGGAGAAGUCUUAGAAUUGCCUUCUCUGUUGCACCAUGUGGAGUUAGGUGUUUAGCCUUCUCCCUAGUGAUGGCAAGAAGCAGCUGUCAGCUACUACCUAAUGAUGUUACUGCAUAUGCACCUCACCUCCGGUAGCUUAAAGAAGCUUUGAACUUGAGGACACCUUCCUCCUGAGUUAGUACGUUAACACUUUUACCUGCUUGUGUAAAGGCCCUGUGGCUCUCCAGCAUCCCACAGAACAAGUACAUUCGCACGGGAAUGCUGGCACCAUGUUGCUUGAGUAUUUAAACAUCGGAAAGUUAUGGAUGAAUCAGUUCCUAGGUCUGUCUGCUCACUGCAAGGACACUUCCUUCUGUUCCUUCACACCUUCAGUGCACCUUGCUUGGUGA
rnacentral:lncRNA from 1 species